AUUGAACGCUGGCGGCAGGCCUAACACAUGCAAGUCGAGCGAGCGGCGGACGGGUGAGUAAUGUCUGGGAAAAUGCCUGAUGGAGGGGGAUAACUACUGGAAACGGUAGCUAAUACCGCAUACUAUCAGAUGUGCCCAGAUGGGAUUAGCUAGUAGGUGGGGUAACGGCUCACCUAGGCGACGAUCCCUAGCUGGUGUGAGAGGAUGACCAGCCACACUGGGACGGAGACACGGUCCAGACUCCUACGGGAGGCAGCAGUGGGGAAUAUUGCACAAUGGGCGCAAGCCUGAUACAGCCAUGCCGCGUGUAUGAAGAAGGCCUUCGGGUUGUAAAGCACUUUCAGCGGGGAGGCGUUACCCACAGAAGAAGCACCGGCUAACUCCGUGCCAGCAGCCGCGGUAAUAC
rnacentral:rRNA from 1 species